rnacentral:misc_RNA from 1 species
ACGAGUUAGGGUCUUCCAGGCCCGACCUCCCAACCCUUUGUCUACUGAACCUCUGUUGCUUCGGCGGGCCCGUCUCACGACCGCCGGAGGAGCGCUGAAAGGCGUCUCCUCUGGCCCGUGCCCGCCGAUGGCCAACUACAAAACUCUGCAUAAAUCGUGUCUUAUGUCUAAGUCCAUGAUCAAAUUAAAAGCA